rnacentral:rRNA from 1 species
UACGUAGGUGGCAAGCGUUGUCCGGAAUUAUUGGGCGUAAAGCGCGCGCAGGCGGCCUCUUAAGUCUGAUGUGAAAGCCCCCGCUCAACCGGGGAGGGCCAUUGGAAACUGGGAGGCUUGAGUAUAGGAGAGAAGAGUGGAAUUCCACGUGUAGCGGUGAAAUGCGUAGAGAUGUGGAGGAACACCAGUGGCGAAGGCGACUCUUUGGCCUAUAACUGACGCUGAGGCGCGAAAGCGUGGGGAGCAAACAGG